rnacentral:other from 1 species
GGCUUCAGAGGAAUAAGGGCAUCGCCUCUUUCUUGAAGGACACUCCCUUCUGAAUGGGAACUCCCCUUCUCCUGCAGCGGCCCUGGUAGGUCAGUGUGGACUCUGCAGCAGCUGCCACCACCACUGCCCCAGAAAGAAAGAACCCCAGAGCC